AGCGAACGCUGGCGGCAGGCUUAACACAUGCAAGUCGAGCGGGCAUCUUCGGAUGUCAGCGGCAGACGGGUGCGUAACACGUGGGAACGUACCCUUCGGUUCGGAACAACUCUGGGAAACUGGAGCUAAUACCGGAUACGCCCUUAUGGGGAAAGGUUUACUGCCGAAGGAUCGGCCCGCGUCUGAUUAGCUAGUUGGUGGGGUAACGGCCUACCAAGGCGACGAUCAGUAGCUGGUCUGAGAGGAUGAUCAGCCGCACUGGGACUGAGACACGGCCCAGACUCCUACGGGAGGCAGCAGUGGGGAAUAAUGGACAAUGGGCGCAAGCCUGAUCCAGCCGUGCCGCGUGAGUGAUGAAGGCCUUAGGGUUGUAAAGCUCUUUUGUCCGGGACGAUAAUGACGGUACCGGAAGAAUAAGCCCCGGCUAACUUCGUG
rnacentral:rRNA from 1 species